AGUCAUGAUAUCUCACGGGUAGACAUCAAAGCCUAACUGUGGAACUACGAGGGCUGCACUAGUACUUUAUAUCGACUAGAAUAGUCAUCAACAACUGUUUAACUUCUGAAUGAAGCUAACAGCCCACCCAUAAGGCUGUAUCUACUAGCUGACAAAUAAACACGUUAAAGCCAAACAGAGGACUACAAGAUUUCAUUAGCAGAAGAAACGUAUAAAUUCGGUCAACACCAGAAAAGAUAACAAGAUGGCUACAGCAGAGGAGGAGCUGGAGUGUCUGAAGCAGAAGCGUUCACAGGCACAGGUUGCAUUUACCAAAAGAGCCAACUUUCUCAUUCCCAGAGCUAAGGUAUUGGGCGAACUUAAGCUGAGAAGCGAGUGGGGAAGAUUUGAAGUUGAGUAUUUCAGAGUCAGAGAUGCUGGGUUCGAGUACGCUAUGGCCUUGAGGGGGAUGGACUGUGAAGAAGCGGGAAGGGAGGCGGACAACAUCAACGAGAAAACAGAACAGUGUGACUGUAAGUUUAAGGAAGCCAAACAGAUGGUCUUGGAAUACUUCUGGAACAGGUUUGCUGAAGAUGAAAUGGUCACCCUUACUGAAAAGGCUGAGUUAGCCAUGGACGAGGCCGAAGCAGCCGACCGUCAGCAUUCCAAAGUGCAGCUUGAACUAAUAAAUAAAUAUAAAAGCCAAGAACAGGAGGUCCACCAGCUUGAAAGGAGAUUGGAUGAGUGGACAGACCUAGUUCCAAGAGCCAAGGCUACUGAGUUCAGAGACCAGGCAAGAAAGCUAAGGAGACGCCAAGAAAAGCUGUCGAGUCAGUGGCAAGCCGGGGACCACUCUGACAACCAAAAGAAGCUGCAGGAAGACGAAGGAACCUCGAGUGACUAUGAUGCGCUAUUUGAACUCCGGCACAUAAUAGAUCAACUGAAGCAGAUCGGUUCGAGCGUCAAGGUGGAACAGGAAAUCACCUAGUAAUAGGUGAUUGAUGAUGUGUUGUGAUGAUGC
rnacentral:lncRNA from 1 species